AGCAGCCGCGGUAAUUCCAGCUCCAACAGCGUAUAUUAAAGUUGUUGCAGUUAAAAAGCUCGUAGUUGAAUUGAGGGAUUGACGUGACGGUCGUGCCUUACGGGGUAUGAAUGAACUGUUGCUGUUGAUUUUUCUCACCUUCUGGAGAAACUUGAUGUCCUUAAUUGGGUGUCUUGCGGAUCCAGGACCUUUACCUUGAAAAAAUUAGAGUGUUUAAAGCAGGCAUUUUGCUCGAAUACAUUAGCAUGGAAUAAUAGAAUAGGACGGCAUGGUUCUAUUUUGUUGGUUUCUAGGAUCACCGUAAUGAUUAAUAGGGAUAGUUGGGGGCAUUAGUAUUCAAUUGUCAGAGGUGAAAUACUUGGAUUUGUUGAAGACUAAUUACUGCGAAAGCAUUUGCCAAGGAUGUUUUCAUUAAUCAAGAACGAAAGUUAGGGGAUCGAAGACGAUCAGAUACCGUCGUAGUCUUAACCAAUAAACUAUGUCGACUAGGAAUCAGACGAUGUUAAUUUUUUAAUGAUUC
rnacentral:misc_RNA from 1 species